rnacentral:lncRNA from 1 species
GGCAUAUUUCUGAUGUGCAGGACAUACGGGAUGUAUAGAACCACUUGCACGAAACGCAGCUACAGCUCUCGUAUACAUAUAACAAUUUUCGUCUGGGCAAAAGAACUCACAGCUUGGUUUUUCCCCACAAAACCAAAAUGUACCAUUGUUUGUAGUUGUAGAGGUAGCAGCUUUUCCGUGUAGACACUCCAUGACUAAUGCAGAACUAUGCCUAUUACAAGACGCUUGUCGAUUUUAUACAGACGCUCGUUAAAUCAAA